rnacentral:rRNA from 1 species
AGCUCCAAUAGCGUAUAUUAAAGUUGUUGCAGUUAAAAAGCUCGUAGUUGGAUUUCUGGUUUGAACGGUCGGUCUGUUUAUGACUUGUUUGUAAAUGUGUACUAUGAUUGUUUGAGCCAUUUUUUGUGAGGAUAUUUUUCUGUCAUUAAGUUGAUGGGAUUAUGGACUUGCAUCAUUUACUGUGAAAAAAUUAGAGUGUUUAAAGCAGGCUUUAUAGCCAAUUGAAUACAUUAGCAUGGAAUAAUAAGAUACGACUUUGGUCUAUUUUGUUGGUUUGCAUACCAGAGUAAUGAUUAAUAGGGACAGUUGGGGGUAUUCAUAUUUCAGCGUCAGAGGUGAAAUUCUUGGAUCGCUGAAAGAUUAGCUUAGGCGAAAGCAUUUACCAAGGAUGUUUUCAUUA